CCGUGCGAACGUGUCGGAAUCACUGGGCUUAAAGGGUGCGUAGGCGGGUUGUCCAGUCUGGGGUGAAAUCCCACGGCUCAACCGUGGAAUUGCCUCAGAUACUGACGACCUCGAGGGAGGUAGGGGCGAGCGGAACUGUGGGUGGAGCGGUGAAAUGCGUUGAUAUCCACAGGAACUCCGGUGGCGAAGGCGGCUCGCUGGACCUCUUCUGACGCUGAGGCACGAAAGCUAGGGGAGCAAACGGGAUUAGAUACCCCGGUAGUCCUAGCCCUAAACGAUGAGGACUAGGUAGUAGGCUAGACAUGGGCUUACUGCCGAAGCAAAAGUGCUAAGUCCUCCGCCUGGGGAGUAUGGCCGCAAGGCUGAAACUCAAAGGAAUUGACGGGGGCUCACACAAGCGGUGGAGCAUGUGGCUUAAUUCGAGGCUACGCGAAGAACCUUAUCCUGGGCUUGACAUGUGCGAAAGCGCCGGGAAGUAGGACCCGGAAACGGGAACGAACGGUACCCAGCCCGGAACCCGGCACAGGUGCUGCAUGGCUGUCGUCAGCUCGUGUCGUGAGAUGUCGGGUUAAGUCCCAUAACGAGCGAAACCCUUACCUUCAGUUGCUACCCGCAAGGGGCACUCUGGAGGGACUGCCGGUGUCAAACCGGAGGAAGGUGGGGAUGACGUCAAGUCAUCAUGGCCUUUAUGCCCAGGGCUGCACACGUGCUACAAUGGCGUGUACAAAGCGAAGCAACCACGCGAGUGGAAGCCAAUCGCAAAAAACACGCCCCAGUUCAGAUCGGAGGCUGCAACUCGCCUCCGUGAAGACGGAAUCGCUAGUAAUCGCGGGUCAGCAACACCGCGGUGAAUGUGUUCCUGAGCCUUGUACACACCGCCCGCCAAGCCACGAAAGGGAGGGGCGCCCGAAGUCACCUUCACCGGUGCCGAAGGCGAAACUCCUGAUUGGGACUAAGUCGUAACAAGGUA
rnacentral:rRNA from 1 species